rnacentral:rRNA from 1 species
GUGCAGCAGGCGCGAAUUUUCUCAAUGGGCGAAAGCCUGAAGGAGCGACGCCGCGUGGGGGAUGAAUGGCUUCGGCCCGGUAAACCCCUCGUCAUUGUCGAACAAAUUAGUUUGUCAUAACACAUAAAGACAUUGAUUGUAGCAGAAGAGGAAGGGACGGGCGUAACUCUGUGCCAGCAGCCGCGGUAAUACAGAGGUCCCAACGCGUUGUUCGGAUUCACUGGGCGUAAAGGGUGCGUAGGCGACUGGGUAAGUCUGACGUG